UACGGAGGGGGUUAGCGUUGUUCGGAAUUACUGGGCGUAAAGCGUACGUAGGCGGAUUAGUAAGUUGGGGGUGAAAUCCCGGGGCUCAACCCCGGAACUGCCUCCAAAACUACUAGUCUUGAGAUCGUGAGAGGUGAGUGGAAUUCCGAGUGUAGAGGUGAAAUUCGUAGAUAUUCGGAGGAACAUCAGUGGCGAAGGCGGCUCACUGGCCCGUAACUGACGCUCAGGCGCGAUAGCGUGGGGAUCAAACAGG
rnacentral:rRNA from 1 species